rnacentral:siRNA from 1 species
UGGAUGUGGUGCAACUGAUUGC